ACAUAUGUUUUUAAGAGAGCCUUUUCAGGUGGUGCCUUGAUUCUUACAACUAUGGAUGGGGAAGAGCUUACUCGUCCUGUGAAUGUCGAUGCAGUCAAGAAAUAUUUCGCCUAAAAAAGAAAAGAACAACUCGCUAAGUUGAAAAUCCGAAAGGGAGGCUUAGCCUAAAAUGAGCGUCUCGGUGGAUUGAAAACCCGAAAGGGUGAUCCAGGAAAAAUUUAGAGACAUAAAA
rnacentral:lncRNA from 1 species